rnacentral:lncRNA from 1 species
UUGAUGAAAGAACAUCAGGCCAGCACAAGUAAGGCACAAAGAUUUGUUCCUACUUGCUGCACUAGUUUGCAUCCAAGUUCAAUCAUGUUUAACUAUAAGAUGAUGUCCAAGAUCAAAGAGAUUACAGGAAGAUUGCAAGAUUUAGCAACAAAAAAGAUUAACCUGCAACUAGAGAAUUAUGUUGGAAGGCCCAUGAUAAUACCAAAAAGCAAGCCAAGCACUUCUCUGGUGAAUGAAGCUACUGUACGAGGCAGAGACAAAGACAAGAAGGCAAUAAUUGAUCUGCUUUUGAGGAAGGAUGGCAAUGAUGCUGGAGUUUCUGUGAUUCCCAUCACCGGCAUGGGAGGGAUAGGCAAGACAACCCUUGCUCAGCUUGUCUACAAUGACAGUAGCAUAAGAGAUUAUUUUAAUCUCAAAGCAUGGGUAUGUGUUUCUGAUGAAUUUGAUGUUAUUAAGAUAACCAAAACAAUUCUAGAAUCGGUCACUUUCCAGUCUUGUGAUAUACAUGACUUGAAUUUACUUCAAGUCAAACUAAAAGAGAAGCUAUCAGGCAAGAAAUUCUUGCUUGUUUUGGAUGAUGUUUGGAAUGAGAACUACGAUGAUUGGACGAAGCUUCGAUCUCCUUUUGAUGCCGGGAUUACUGGAAGCAAAAUAAUCGUAACAACACGUAGUUCUAAUGUUUCAUCAAUUAUGAGAAGUGUUGCAGAUUACUUGUUACAAAGCUUAUCAGAAGAUGAUUCCCUAAGCUUGCUUUCUCAUCAUGCAUUAGCAAGAGGAGAUUUUACUGGACAUCCAGACCUGAAAGAAAUUGGCUUGGAGAUUGUGAAGAAGUGUGGUGGCUUGCCUUUGGCAAUUAAAACUAUUGGAGGACUAUUGCGUACUAGGGAGAAUCAUGAUGCAUGGAAAUACAUAUUGAUGAGUGAUAUUUGGAGUAUACCUGAAGAGAAAAGUGACAUAAUUCCAGCCUUAUGGUUGAGUUACUAUUAUCUUCCUCCGCAAUUGAAGCAGUGUUUUGCCUAUUGCUCUUUCGUCCCUAAAGAUUAUGAAUUUAAAGAGGAGGAAAUAGUCUUGUUAUGGAUGGCAGAAGGUUUUCUAAAUGGAGCAAACACAAAAGGGGCAACUAAAGAUUUGGGUAGCAAGUAUUUUGAAGAACUGGUAUCAAGGUCAUUUUUUCAAGCAUCUAGGAAGAAUCAAUCUCAAUUUGUAAUGCAUGACUUGAUUAAUGAUCUAGCUCAAUUAGUUGCAGGAGAAAUCUAUUUUAAAAGGGAGAGAUAUGAUGACAUGAAAGGUCCAAUUAGUCGCACUCGCCACUCCUCUUAUAUCAUUGGCAAGUAUGACAGAAUUGAAAAGUUUGAGGCCUUUUUUGAAGCAAAGUUUCUACGAACCUACCUACCUUUUGAUAUGAUGAUGAUGAGGCGGUAUGGUAGAUGCUACUUAAGCAGUAACGUUCUUGAUGAUUUGCUGCCAAGAUUGAAAUGCUUAAGGGUGCUCUCUUUAAAAAGGUACUACAUCAAAAAAAUUCCUUCUUCUAUUGGAAAUUUAAAACAUUUACGUUAUUUAGAUUUCUCUUAUACUGAAAUAAAAAGUCUCCCUGAUUCAAUAUGUACCCUUUAUAAUUUAGAGACUCUUUUAUUAAGGUUUUGUGAUGGAAUUGAGAAGUUACCUAUGAAAAUAGGAAUUUUGGAUAACCUAUGUCAUCUAGAUAUUACUGGAGCAAAUUCAAUUAAAGAAAUGCCAAGUGGAAUUGGCAAAUUAACAAAUCUUCAAGUGUUGUCUACUUUUAUCGUGGGUCAAGGUGAUGGAUUGAAUAUAAGAGAGAUGCAGAAUUUGUCAAAUCUCAAAGGUCAGCUUUGUAUUUCUAAACUGCAUAAUGUGGAUGAAGCUCAAUAUGCAUGGGAAGCUAAGCUAUCUGGUAAGUCUAGCCUGAAUAAUUUAGAGUUGAGUUGGAGUAGAAAUUUCAAUGAAAAUUUAAGAAAUAAAGAAGUUGAGGGAGAAGUGUUGACCUUGCUUCAGCCUCAUGAAGAGCUAAAGGCGCUUGCCAUCAAGUAUUAUGCUGGACUAACAUUCCCAAUUUGGCUGGAAGAUGGUUCAUUAAAAAAUUUGCAAUUUUUAAAUCUUGAAGAUUGCCAAAAUUGCAAAUCAUUACCGGCCAUUGGAAAGUUACCACUUUUAAAGCAUCUCUGUAUCAAGGGGAUGAGAAGUGUGAUUAGUGUUGGCAUUGAGUUCCAUGGAGUGAAUUGGCCAAAUCUAUUUCCAUCAUUAGAGACCUUGCAUUUUGAAGAUAUGUUGGAAUGGAAAGAGUGGAAAGUUUGUGAAAUUAACAAACAAGGUAAGAAAUUUUGUUGCCUCCGAGAACUCCUUUUAAAAAAUUGUCCAAAAUUGGUUAGAACUUUGCCCAAUGAUCUUCAUUCUUUGGAGAAACUUGUAAUCCGUAAUUGUCAAGAGUUGACAGUUUCAGUUUCAAAUCUUCCAAUGCUAUGUGAAUUUGAAAUUGAUGGAUGCAAAGAAGUGGUGCUCGAGAGUUUUGAUGAUCUUUGGUCUGUUAAAAAAAUCAUUCUUUCAAAUAUUUCAAAGUUCACUUGUGUAACAAAAGAAACGAAGAAGUUGGAGUCGGCGAAAGUAGUAAAUCUCCAAAUUAAUGGUUGUGAGGAGUUAACCUCUUUGUGGCAAACAAAGUGGGGGUGGUUGGCACCUUUGAGAUCACUGCAUAGUUUAAAGUUUCAAAAUUGUCCCCAAGUUGUGUGUAUAGGGGCAACGGAUGAGGAAGAAGAAGAGCUUUUGCAAUUAGAAUUACCAUGCAACAUUGAGUAUGUGAUAUUAGUUGGUUGUCAAGGGUUAGAGAGAUUAUCUAAAUCAUUGCAGAACCUUACAUGUCUUACAAAGUUGAAUAUCGUAAGGUGCUCGAAAUUGGUUUCACUUUCGGUGGACAGCUUGCCUCUAACUCUUAGAACUUUGGACAUUAGUGAUUGUGAGAAUUUGCAAUGCCUACUUGAUGACGAAGAGAAUAUCAAUUUCAGUAGCACAUCUCUUCUUGAAUCUCUUGACAUUGGAUGUUGUGAAGCUCUUAAAUCAUUAUCAUCAAGUGGUAAGUUACCCGUGAGGUGUAAAAAGUUGUUUAUUUAUGAAUGCCCGGUGCUUCGUUUUUUAGCACAGAAUAUUGGGGAUAAUGCUUGUCUUGAAUCUAUUUCACUCCAUAAUUGUAUAAAUAUUAAAUAUUUACCCCAAGGACUGGACAAGCUCAAUCAUCUUCAAGAGAUUGAUUUUGAUUGUUGUCCAAGUUUGGUUGGUUUCCCAGAAAGUGGGUUGCCUAUUGCCAACCUCAAAACUUUAAGGCUCGUUGAGUGUGCAAAACUAGAAGCUCUACCCACCCUCCACACUCUUCAACAGUUGACCAUAUUGGGAUGUCCAAGGGUGCGAUACUCCAUUGAAGAAAAUGGUUUCCAUACCAACCUAACAGAAUUGGACAUCGAUGAACCCAAUAUUAGUAAGGCACUAAUGAUUUGGGGAUUGCAUAGACUCACAUCUCUUACAAAACUCGACAUUGAUGGUAGCAAUUGCAUCGAGGUGGUGUCGUUUCCCCAGGAAGAGAUAGGAAUGAAGUUGCCCCCUUCUCUCACUCAUCUUUCUAUUGGAAAUUUCAAAAAUAUGAAAAAGGUAUCCUCCAAUGGCUUUCAGAACCUCACCUCUCUUCAAUCUUUGAAGAUCUACCAUUGCCCAAAGCUCAAAUCCCUUCCCCGAAAGGAAAUGCUUCGCUCGCUUUCACAACUACUUAUUUACUGGUGUCCGGUGCUAAAGGAAAGGUGCAAAAGGGGGAAAGGAAAACAAUGGUCCAACAUUGCCCACAUACCUUACAUAGAGAUUGAUUAAAGAUUCAUCUUCCAAUGACCAAGAGAAAGAAUCAGAGUAUGUCGACUCAGGUAUUUCAUCCUAGAAUUUAUUACUAUUUUAACCUUUUUUUUUAUUUUGCUUAUUUCCUUUAUCAUGAAAAAUUAUACUCCUAGCUAGUAAUUACGGCCCACGUCUAUAUUAUACUUUGUAAAUUAAUUUUUUGUGAGUUAGGUCUAAAUUCCUCAAAAAGAUGCAAAUUUUACUAAAUCUUUCUAUUAAUACCAUUUAGGCUCUAAUUAGCAAUUUUUAUACAACUUGAAUGAAAAUUUGUGAGUGCUUAAUUGUCGAGCCUGUUCAUCUCCAUUUUAAAAGGACUGUUUUGUUCAGUUUGUAGCUAAAUAUGGAACAGCCUAAUUGGGUGCCUUAUGCCUACUGAUUCAUUAACCAUGUAUAACAAGAAGCAUGACAGCUCUUAGGUAAUACCUCCUGCUUUGCUCUUAUUCACUGCACUAUGUCUACUUAAAAUUAACUCUAUCAUUGUUAUUAUAAUUGUUUUCUCUUUCAAACAAUUAAUUGAAAUUUUAAAAUUACUAAGUACAUGCAGGAGUUUGAGCUUGGAUUAAUUUAGAAAGAAUGAAAUUCAAACCUUUGGAUGCAAUUCCUUGACAACAAUUAUUGCAAAUGGUAAGUUUUAAAGGUCAAUAUUUGAAUGCUUUCCUUAAUAGAGUCUCUGUUAAGAAGAUAGUCAUGCUAUGGUGUUAAAGAAGCUUUAAACUUCAACCAUUAUAUUACAAAUGGUACCUACACUGAUUCAUUAGGAGAGAAAAAGGAAAAACUAUUAUAUUACAACGAAUAUAAAUGAGCUUUGUUUGAACUUAUUUUUGAUAAUUGAGUUACGGUUUUUGGGAGGAUUAAUUUUGUUUACAUCUAUUAUUUUAAAAUAUUUAUUAUUAAAAUAUGAAAAAAUAUUUAUAUUAAUAUUAAAAAAUAGUAAUAUUUAUUAUUAAAAUAUAAAAAAUCCAUAUAUUUUAAAAUAUUAAUAUUUAUUAUUUACUAUUAAAAAAAUUUUAUGGCAAAACAAACGGAGUCUUAAUUGAAGCUCAAUUAGAUUUAAACCCAACACUUUAAUGGCAGCCCUAGUAGAUGUUAAGAAUAAGCUUCUUAGCAUUAGAGCAUGAGCAAGCUUGAAAUCCAUCUCUUUUCUUCUUGGUACAAAGGAUAAUGACAGUAGUAUAAUGACAUCUUCCUUAUGCCAUGUAAGCAUUACACCUAUUUGAUAGAACCACUUUAUUAACUUUUUUGCUACUCAACACUAAUAACAGAAUGCUUUGGCCUUGUAUGACAGGAAUGAACAAAACUCAUGAUUUUGUAUCUCAUUACCCUCAGAAUCAAUGAUGGAAAGGUUUCCAAGCGGGAUUUGAGUGUAUGUUUGAGCACUAGUGGAUUUCUUGAUCUGUUCUUCUCAAAAAAAAAAAAUCAUAUUAUCAACAUCACUGCCCAUGAAAUCAUGAGCAGUGAUGUUGACUGUAGAAUGUCUAAUUCCUAAGGCUUGAUGCUUAGGGAGCCAAAACCAACCGUCAAAAGUGAUUUGAUAGACAAUUGAGUGGCUAAGGGAAAAAUGGAUGAGAAAGAGACCAUCUUAAUUUAAAUGGCCAUCUUAAAAGCGUAUGGUCUUCAUAUUAGGUAAAAUUGUUUUUUUUUAGCACUUAUUAUAAGGUGAUGACUUUUAUUUUAGAAAUUUAGCUUUUUAUUGAUAGUUUGUUGUAAUUUCCUCUAGAGAAAAUUUUUGUAAUCUUAUUAUUUUAAGUAGUGGAAGAUUGAAUGGAUUAUGGUCUCGUGGUUUUUCCCCUUACUAUGGGGUUUUCCACGUAAAAUCUGGUUUCUUACUCUUAUGACUUGGUUAUUUAUUUAUUUAUUUUACAUUGAUAACUAAGUAUGAAUUAGUACUUUAAUGUAUCAUACAGUUUAUUCAACAUUUUCAAGGAGGGAUAGGGAAUUGGAGUUUUGGUUGGCCGGUUGUAAUGGUAGACUAUAUGAUGCUUAGUGCUGUCUUCAUUCCUUGGUUCUACCAGUCACAGAACACGCACAGAAUGUAAAUUUUUGAUUUACAUAAAUAUCAAAUUAAGUCUAUAAUCGUACUCUAACGGUAUUACAACUCCUAAACACUCUGGAAAAACAGUAUGAGUGCAUAUGGUCUGUGCCCCGUUCAAAACAGGGUCAAUCCCACCAAUUGGGCUUCCAUGCUUGAGACUUAUCCUGGGAAUCAAAGUAUCAGCAGCUGCUGGUCCUCCGGCCAUCUACCGAUCUUUUCUCACCAGGUGGGCAUCAAAUAGCUCCAUCUUACCUUAUUUUUCGGCCUGUUACAUAUAAUCGCUGUCUCGACAGGGAGAAAGAAAAAAAAAUGCUCUGUUAUUGGACAGGUAGGCAUUUAAAUGAGUUAUUAUUACACGGAGUAUCUACGGGUACUCUAACAUUGGACAUGACAAAGUCAAAUGUGAUGUCGGGUUUCAUUUUCCCAUGAAGUCUUGGCCGGUGUUCCCUUCAUUCAUCUUGCGUUUGGUUUCACAAGCUUCACUUUCAUCAGAAGUGAGAAAGAUACAAGCAAAAGAAACGAGUUUCCUUUUGCUUGUCUCUGAAGUUGCUAAAAUUUAACGUGGCAGAUGAUUUGAAGUCAUAAAUUUGCGAUUUAAGGUCCUCCGCAGAGCCAAGCCCAGGUAAUUAUUUUCAGUCUUUUCUCUUCCAUAUUUCUUUAUUCUGAUCAGUUCUCCAUGUUUUAUGUUCGUAUUCCUUGCUUUACUUCCAAUUUUGUGAGAAUUCUCAAACUGUCUUUAGAAUGGAUGAUCGCUUGAUUAAGGCCUCUCAAGUGGGUGAUAUAGAUGCCCUGUAUGAACUAAUUUGGGAAGAUGAUAAUGUUUUGAAGCGGAUUGACGAGAAAAUGUUUGUAGAUUCUCCUCUACAUAUAGCAGCUUCGUUUGGACAAACUCGUUUUGCAAUGGAGAUGAUGAACUUGAUACCUUCCUUUAGCAAAAAUUUGAACAAGUCUGGGUUUAGCCCCAUGCACCUUGCCCUCAUAAAUGGGCAUUUCGAGUUGGUGUCUUUAUUUCUACAUGCUGAUGCUGGUCUAGUUCGUGUCAAAGGAAGAGGGGGCUUGACCCCUUUACAUUAUGCUAUCAAGAAUGGGAACCUCAAUUUCGUGGCUAAAUUCCUAUUAGCUUGCCCAGAGUCUAUUGAAGAUGUGACGGUUCGAGGUGAGACUGUUUUGUACAUUGCCAUUAAAUCAGACAUGUUAGAAGCUCUUGAAGUUCUGGUAAGAUGGUUUCAGAGAAUUUGCCACAAAGAUGCCUUAGAUUGGUUGGAAUUCAUUCCAAAUUGGAAGGACGAGGAAGGAAACACUGCAUUGGAUAUUGCAGUAUCCAAUAGUCAAAUUCAGGCAUGUCUUAUACUUCUGCAAUUUUUUGUUUAAUUUCGUGAAAUUGGGAAUUAUAGGGAAUUGAUUACCCAAUUAUACACCUCGAAAAUCAAAACUUACAUAAAUGUCUCUCCGAUAAAAAACAGAUUAUAUUUAUUACCUGAUUGACAUCAAUACAAUUGUCAAAUACAUAACUAAACAAAUAGUUAUCAUGUAUCAAAAUUUUAUUUUUUAAAUAUUGAUGAUCAAUAUUAUAAGAUACAGUAUAAAAUUUUUUAAAAAAAUUAAUUAUAAAUAAUAUGUAUAUAUUUACAAAAAAAUUUAAAAAUCUUAUAUUUAUUAACAGGAUUGAGAAAUAUAGUGCAUGACUUGAAAAGAUAUUGUGUUUUAAUUUGAAUUCUCGUACUUAAUAGUAUAUAUUUUCCAUAAUAAUUUACUAAUUAAAAGUAAAAAUAGUAUUUAACAUUUAUAUAUAUAUAGGUCAGAAUCAUAGAGACACAGGUUACCACCGCCUGUCGAUCAAUCCCUACUUUCUCCAAUGAGUUCCCAUAACAAGGAUACCCAAUAGGCACGAAACAUGACAUUUACUGGCCUGACUCCUUAGGACCACUAGAUCUUGAUGUACCCUCGUGUAAAUAUCAUAGUGAAGAUUAGAGUUUAGAUGAUAGCCUUGGAGGCUUCAAUCUUCUGACUAGCCAGUAGUCUGGAUGCACUUCAAAAUUGCUGAAUUACCCAUCUCUAUUUCAUUUCUCAUGACUACUUGAUCGCUGAGUUUAAGCCAUGUCUUUUGUUGGAGAGGCUUGCUUAUCUACUUUCUUUAAGGCAUUGUUUGCCAAAUUGGGCUCUUCUGAAUCCCUUCACUUUGCUACUAAAAAGCAAGUCUGUAAGGAGCUUAGGAAGUGGGAAAAGAUAUUGAAGAAUAUCCAGGCAGUGCUUGAUGAUGCAGAGGAGAAGCAAAUGAAGGAUCGGCAUGUGAAGAUAUGGCUAGUGGAGCUCCAAGACUUGGCUUACGAUGUGGAUGACAUCUUGGAUGAGUUCGCGACUGAAGCCUUGGGAACCAAGUUAAUGCAAGAACGUCAAGCAAACAGAAGUAAGGUAUGGAAGAUCAUUCAUACCUUAAUUACUAUUUUCAAUCCAUAUGCUUUCCUGUUUAAUUAUAAGAUGAUGUCAAAGAUAAAAGCGAUUACUGUUAGAUUGCAAGAUUUCGUCACCCAAAAAAGUGACUUGCACUUACGAAAGAAUGAUGUUGGUAGGCCUAAGAGAAUGAUAGAAAGGCCACUGACUACUUCAUUGGUGAAUGAAGCUCUUGUCUAUGGUAGGGAAGAAGACAAAAAGGCAAUAAUUGAUUUGCUUUUAAUGAAUGAUAGUAGUGAUGGUAAAGUCACUAUGAUCCCUAUUGUUGGCAUUGGAGGGAUUGGUAAGACUACCCUUGUUCAACUAGUUCACAAUGAUAAUAGUAUAAAAGAUCAUUUCAACAUCAAAGCAUGGGUGUGUGUUUCUGAAGAUUUUGAUGUGAUCAAAAUAACAAAAACAAUUUUGCAGUCAAUUACUACUGAGCCAUGCAAUGAAUUAAAUCAUCUAAAUUUGCUACAAGUCAAAUUGAAGGAGGAGUUAUGUGAAAAGAAUUUUCUGCUUGUUUUGGACGAUAUUUAGAAUGGAAGCUAUAAUGAUUGGGCCAUUCUUCGAACUCCUCUUGAAGUAGGGGCUGCAAAAAUCAAAAUAAUUGUGACAACACCAAUCAAAAUGUUUCAUCAGUAAUGAAAACUGUUCCGGAUUACUCAUUAUAAGAAUUGUCAAAUAAUGAUUGUCUCUUCAUUUUAACUCAACAUUCCUUAGGGGAAAAAGGUUUCGAUUGGCAUUUGGAUUUAAAAGAAACUAGAGAACUGAUUACGAGAAGGUGUAAUGGCUUGCCCUUAGCUGCUAAAACCAUUGGUGGCUUAUUAUGCUCAAGGGUGUAUCCUGAUGCAUGGAAAGAUGUAUUGGAGAAUGAGAUAUGGAAUUCCUCAGAAGAGAAAUGUGGCGUAAUUCCAACUUUGCGGUUGAGCUACUAUCAUCUUCCACCUCAUUUGAAGCAAUGUUUUUCAUAUUGCUCAAUCCUUCCUAAAGCCUAUGAAUUUGGGGAGGAAGAAAUAGUGUUGUUAUGGAUGGCAGAAGGCUUGUUACAGCAAGCAAACAAUUAAAGGCAAAUUGAAAAAUUAGGUAGCAUGUACUUUCAAGAUCUUGUGUCAAGAUCAUUCUUUCAAAUAUCUAGCAGAAAUAAAUCUUGAUUUGUAAUGCAUGACCUCAUCAAUGAUCUAGCUCAAUUAGUUAUAGAAGACAUGCUUCAGAGUGUCGUGACGUGCGGGUCCGGGAACCCGUCCGCCAGACGCGGGCAGAAAUUAAAUAUCGUGUGGGUGUGGGAGUCGCCACCAAUCAUGUUUAUCUAAGGUGUGAUUGGUCACCUAUUAACCCGAUUCUUAAUCGACAAAGUCCUAAAUUAAUUUUAGGUCCGUCGAAAGAAUGAGAACUGAUCCACGUCUUUUUAGAGAUGAGUUCGGGAGUGCGGUUACGCACGGAGAAGGGUUAGCACCUCCGUGGCUCCCGUUUCACGAACGGUACCAUUUAAUCUUAAGUUACCUUAAUAUAGCCUUUUCUUAGUUCAAUCCCUAUUUUAUUAAUUAAAAAUUUUUAUUGAAUUGUCAGACUAAGUUUUUCACUUGGUUUUACGUAUGCAUAUGAUGCAAGCGUAGAAUGAUGUCGUGACUUGUUUAUUUUAAAUGAUGGAGUCGGUAAUCUUUUNNNNNNNNNNNNNNNNNNNNNNNNNNNNNNNNNNNNNNNNNNNNNNNNNNNNNNNNNNNNNNNNNNNNNNNNNNNNNNNNNNNNNNNNNNNNNNNNNNNNNNNNNNNNNNNNNNNNNNNNNNNNNNNNNNNNNNNNNNNNNNNNNNNNNNNNNNNNNNNNNNNNNNNNNNNNNNNNNNNNNNNNNNNNNNNNNNNNNNNNNNNNNNNNNNNNNNNNNNNNNNNNNNNNNNNNNNNNNNNNNNNNNNNNNNNNNNNNNNNNNNNNNNNNNNNNNNNNNNNNNNNNNNNNNNNNNNNNNNNNNNNNNNNNNNNNNNNNNNNNNNNNNNNNNNNNNNNNNNNNNNNNNNNNNNNNNNNNNNNNNNNNNNNNNNNNNNNNNNNNNNNNNNNNNNNNNNNNNNNNNNNNNNNNNNNNNNNNNNNNNNNNNNNNNNNNNNNNNNNNNNNNNNNNNNNNNNNNNNNNNNNNNNNNNNNNNNNNNNNNNNNNNNNNNNNNNNNNNNNNNNNNNNNNNNNNNNNNNNNNNNNNNNNNNNNNNNNNNNNNNNNNNNNNNNNNNNNNNNNNNNNNNNNNNNNNNNNNNNNNNNNNNNNNNNNNNNNNNNNNNNNNNNNNNNNNNNNNNNNNNNNNNNNNNNNNNNNNNNUUUGUCAUUGUUAUUAUUUACAUAUAUAUUUUAAUUUUAAUUUUAUGAAUUUUUUUAUUUAUUUACUCAUUUGAUACAUAUGUUCUUUUAGAUUAUGCAUUUUUACCAUUAUUUUUAUUACUAUCAUUAUUUUUUAUUUUUAUUUUUGAUUUUUAAUAUUAAGUGUAAAUAUUUUUUCCUAAAAAAAAUGUAUUUUAAUUAAAAUGGGCUAGACCCAACACUAAGACCCAAGCAAAACAAAACAAAAAAAAGGUUAUAUCUUGUUGGGCUGCGGUUGACCCAAUUUGGUGGCCCGCAGGAGCCCAAAUCCACUAUGCCAGGCCUGCUUCUGGAAGCCCGCAAGGUGAGAUUCAAAACGCACCGUUUUGAUGCCUGCGAAGCCGCUCAAAACGACGCCGUUUUGCCUGGUCCUUCCAGCUUCUACUUGCCUCUCUGAAACGACGCCGUUUUGCCCACGAAACCUAGGUAUUUAACCCCCUUUUCUCUCUUUCUCUCUUCACUUUCAUUCCUCACUUUCUCUCUCUAGCGGCGGCACCCUCCGCCUUCUCUCUAAAAAUCUUCUUCUUCUCUCUUCGCCGGCGCCGGCGUCCUCCCCUCUCUUCUCGGAUUUCUCUCUUACCCGGCGAAUCACUUCGCCUUCCGUUGCCGGCGUCAAGCUCUCUCCUUUCUUCUCUCCGCCGAUCGUUCCUUCCUUUUCUCUCUCUACCGCUUCCUCUUCUCAGAUCUCACCCCUUUUUCUUUUUUUGUUGUUGCUUUUUGUUUUUUGGUUCCUUGUGGCUAACUGCUGUCCCUUUGUUUUUGCGUUUUGCAGGGUUUUAAAGAGCCGGGUUGUCCAAAAAAUUGGACAACCCGGCGAGGGGGUUCUGGCACCCCUGGAGUUGGUGGCCAGAACCCCCAUCCCGCGUAGUGGGUGGGGGAUGGGAUGGUACGCCCAGCCAUCCCGAUUUUUUUUUUUUAUUAUUUUAUUUAUUUUAUUUUAUUUAAUUUAAUUUAUAUUUAUUUAUUUAUUUUAAUUUAUGUGUCUACACAGAGUAGGGGGUGAUAAGCAAUUGCAAAUUUCAAGGCAUGCUUGUUACUCAUCCUACAUUGGCAAUAGGUAUGAUGGACUCAAAAAGUUCAAAACCUUCUAUGAAGCAGAGCAGUUAUGAACAUUUCUAUCAUUUAUGCUACCAAAAGAUGGGGAUGUUUUCUAUCUAACAAUGUCCUUAUUGAUUUGUUGCCAAAGCUAAAAUGCUUAAGAGUGCUCUCUUUGGAAAGGUACUAUAUUACUGAGAUACCAAAUUCAAUUGGAGAUUUGAGACAUAUACGUUACCUUAAUUUUUCUUAUACCAAAAUCAAAAGCUUGCCAGACUCCAUAUGUACUUUCUUCAACUUAUAGACCUUGCUAUUGAGAGGUUGUGAUUGCCUUAUACAACUACCUUCGAAUUUGAGGCUUCUAAGCAACCUACGACAUCUUGAUAUUACUAGCACAAAUUUAAUUAAGUGGAUGCCAUUCGGGAUCAAUGAAGUAAUUGAUCUCCAAGCACUAUCCAAUUUUGUUGUAGGCCAAGGUGUUGGAUAUCAAAUAAGAGAGCUGAAUAAUUUAUCUGAACUGAAAGGUCAACUUUUUAUUUCAGGAUUGCAAAAUCUUGUCAAUUCUCAAGAUGCAUUGGAUGCUAGGUCAUUUGAUAAGUCUGGCCUUGAUGAUUUAGAAAUGAAGUAGAGUGCAAACUUGAAAGAUGAUUUAAGGAAGAAAGAAGCAGAGAAAAAGGUGUUGAGCUUACUUCAACCUCAUAAGAAACUUAAGAAACUCACCAUCAAGUAUUAUGGUGGUUUAGCAUUCCCAACCUGGGUGGGAAAUUCUUCAUUCAAAAAUUUAAUUUUCUUAAAUUUUGAAGGUUGUCAGUGUACAUUAUUACCAUCAAUCGAACAACUACAAUUUCUAAAGGCUGUUUAUAUCUAAGGAAUGAGUUAUAUUAAUAAGGUGGAUGCUGAGUUUUAUGGAGAGAAUUGCUUAAAUGCACUUCCAUCAUUAGAGGUUCUUCAUUUUGAAGAUAUGCCAAAAUUGAAAGAGUGGAAUUCUUACCAAGUUGAUAAGCAAAUAAGAAUCUUCCAAUGCCUCCACAAUCUAUCUGUCAAGAAAUGCCCCAAACUAUUGAGAAGUCUACCAUGUUGUCUUCCUUGCCUAGAAAAACUUGUGAUUCAUGAAAGCCAACAACUGGUAGUUUCGAUUCCAAACCCUUCAAGGCUGUGAGAGUUAGAGAUUGUUGGAUGCAAAGAAGUGUUACAUGAGAGUUGUCGUGAUCUUUGCUCAUUAAAAAACGUCUCUCUCUUAAACAUCACAAAUUUUACUUGUUUAACAAAGGGGUUGAUGUUAGGCUUAACAAAUGUUGAGUUUUUUCAAAUUCGUGGUUGUAGAGAGCUUUCUUUUUUAUGGCAUAACAGAGGGGGAAUGCUUAGCACAAUGGAGGUGCCUUCAUAACUUGGAAAUUCUAAGUUAUCCUCAACUUGUUUCAUUAGCAACAGGAGAGAAAACCCAAGAGUUGGCACAAAUGGAAACCAUUUGCAAUCUUGAAUGUUUAAGAAUUAAGUAUUGUGAAAGAUUAGAGAAGUUCUCCACAACUCUAUAGAAUAUCAGAUCCCUUAAGGAGCUAGAGAUUGUAACAUGUCCAAAAUUGGUGUCUUUUUCACAUAACAAUUUUCCUCCUACUCUGAAAGGUUUGGUGAUAAAAUAUUGUGAGAAUUUUACAAUGUUUAUUAGAGGAAGAUAGUAUUAAGAUUAGCACCAUAUCUCUACUUAGCCACCUGACAAUUGAACGAUGUCCGUGUCUAAUAUCUUUGUCAUCAAUAGAUAAGUUACCUAUUAUGCUUCAACAUCUCAAGAUAUGGAGUUGCUCAAAAUUGGCGUAUUUAUCAUCAAGUGGCACUUUAUCUGUGGGGCUUAAAUACUUACGGAUUGACCUUUUCCAAAUGUUAGAGUCCAUUGCACAUUCUGUUCACAAUAACACUUGUCUAGAAUUCAUUGUCAUUGGUAGGUGUGAAAAGAUUCAGUAUUUAUCCAAUGGAUUGGACCAGCUCAAUGGUCUUCAACAGAUUCAAAUAGAAUGUUCGCGGAAUCUAGUUUCCAUUUCCAAGUUACCUUUCACCAACCUACGUGUGUUACGCCUUAGUUGGUGUAGGAAAUUCCAAGCUCUACCAGAUGGCAUGCACAUCCUUACUUCUCUUCGGGAAUUGGAGAUAUCAAAUUGUCCAUGUUUGUUAUCCUUUCCAGAAGAAGGUCUUCCCAUCAACUUAACUUUUCUUACAAUCUCAAAGCUUGAAAUUCUUGAAGGACUAAUUAGCUGGGGAUUUCAUAAAUUCACAUAUUUUAAAAGACUCACCAUUAAAAAAUGAUACAAUGGGGUGUCAUUUUCGCAUGAAGAGAAAGGAAUGAUGUUGCCUUCUUCUCUAAGCAAACUUGCCAUCAGUGAUUUCCCAAAUGUGGAAAUCCUAUCCUCAAAGGGCUUUCAAAACCUUCCCUCUCUUGAAUGUUUGUGCAUUGUUAACUUUCCAAAGCUCAAAUCAUUGCCUAGAAAGGACAUGCUUCCCUCACUUUUGGAGUUAUAUAUUCAUGAUUGCCCCUUGCUAAAAGAAAGAUGCAAAAAGGAUGAAAGGCAAGAGUGGUCCAACAUUUCUCAUAUACCUUUUGUUCAGAUUGAUGAUAGAUUCAUCCAUGAUUUAGAGGAAGACAAAGAUGAAUCUGAUUCGGAGGAGUAAAAGUGAAAAGAGAAAAUUAGAGGAUGCAACUCCCAAGUACAACCAAUUUUAGAAAGUCAUUAUAAUAAAGAAUUUUUGAUUUCAUUUAUAUUUCUUAUGUUAAUAUUUAUUUUCUUAUACAUUAAGUGACAAAGUUAACUCUUCAACCUUUAGCAGCAGCACCAAUUCAAACAAUGUCACCGACAGCAGCAGUGGUAAAAACAUCAUUGAUAACCCUAUUGUUGCUUGAAGAAUCACAAUCAUUUGCAAUCAUGCAGAUUGGAAAGAUACAUACCUUAAGGUAUUUUAUGGCUUUUUUUGCUUGUACUUGUAUCAUAGAUGAUUUUGAGUAUUGCAUUUAAAAUGAAAAUAUAGUGAUAUUUUGUGUUUUUGAAAUUUGAGAUAUUAGCAAAGCCAAGCAUACUCUGCUAGAACACUGGUGUGAAGGUGAUAAAGAAUGAUAAUGUUCAGCAUAGCCUACGUACCUUUUGUUAAGGUUGAUCACAAAUUUGCUUAUGAUCUAGAGGAGGAAAGCUGAAGUUGAUUGACCUAUUGGUAAAGCAAGAAAGGCCAAAUCAGAAAAUUUGCAUUCCACUUGUACUUAAAUCAGGUAGGUCAAUUUAUAGUUUUUAUAAUUGGAUUAGUAUUUUCUAGAGAAAUCAACAGAAAGUCUAACUAUUAACUGUUUCUUCAUAAAAAAAUUAUGUUGAAAUAUGGCCUCAUCUUGCUGCCAAGCUAAUUCAAAGGUUGAAGGUUACAGGAAAUUCAUAGCUGUAGAAAGAAGAGUGGUUUAUGUCGGUUUAUCCUUAUCUGUUUUAUCUGUUAUCUUUUUUUUUUUUACUUUACUUUGUUUAUCAGUAAUAUUUUUCUUCCAAAUACUAUGUCAUUUUACUUGUGUAGCCGUUAAGCUUGUGUGGCUAUCUUGGGAAUUUGAACACAGCUCCCUAUGCAUUAUUCUUUCAGUUGUUUCUAGAGAACUAGGUGUCCUUAGCUGGCUGUCUAUUUCUCUCUCAUGUAACCAUCUAUAAGUACCAUUUUAUCUUGUUUAAUGAAAAGGUAUGCAGCACACCAUUUUGUGUUCAUAAAAAAUUCUCUCUAUCUUCUUUCUCGAUAUUCUUUUCUACUCCUCUGUUCUUUAGUUCAUUCAUUUUUUCCAGAAUACUCAACUCCUCAACAUGGCAUCAGAGCUCUGCAACGGAUCUUAAGGGGCUGUUUUCUUUUUCCUCAUUAUCAUUCUUCACUUUGACCAUCCUUUUGUGUGGUUUAAUGUUCAUGGCUACUACUGGAGUCAACACCUUUGCUCCACCAGUCUUUACUAGUUAAAAUUAUGUUAUUUGGUCAGUAAAGAUGAGGUUGUAUUUGAAGGCUUAUAGUCUUUGGGAGGUUGUGGAGACUAGUGCGGAUCCUGUUCAACGUCAUGCUAACCCCACUCUUGCUCAAAUUCGACAGUUUGAUGAGAACAAAGCUAAAAGGUACAAAGCCCUGUCCAGUUUGCAUUCAGCUAUUUCUGAUGAGAUUUUCUCUAGGAUUAUGCAUCUAGAUAGUCUUAAGGAGGUAUGGGAUCACUUGAAGGAUGAGUUUUUUGGUAGUGAUAGGACUAGGCAUAUUCAGUCUUUGAAUCUGUCUAGACAAUUUAAAAUGUUAAGGAUGGAAGAUGAUGAGAAUAUUAGGGAGUUUUCUAGAAGAAUGAUGAGUGUUGUGAAUCAGUUAAGAUUGUUGGAAAGGCUGUUAUAGAGGAGAAGUUGGUGCACAAGGUACUGGUGAGUCUCCCAGAAAAAUAUAAGUCAAAGAUUUCUUCCUUAAAAGAUUCUAGGGAUAUUACUCAGAUGACUUUGAAAGAAUUAGUGAAUGCUUUGGAGGGUCUUGAGCAAAGAAGAGCAUUUAGGCAGAGAAGUGUAGCAGACAGUGCCUUGGUAGCUUAGAUGAGAAAUGUUAAAGUGAGCAAUAGCAACACAAAGAAGAAUGAAGGUAAUAGGAAGGAUAAGGAUAAGAAAGCAACUGAUGAAAAAUCUAGAAAACAAAAGCAAAAGUAUCAACCUUGUCCACAUUGCAAGAAAACCACUCAUUCUGCAAAAUUUUGUUGGUACAGACCAAAUGUGAAAUGUAGGUCUUGUAACCAACUUGGACAUGUUGAAAGAAUAUGUAAAAACAAAGGAGUUAAGUCUAAAGAGAAGGCUAUAGUAGCUGAGCAAGUUAAAGAAUCUGAAGAGGUGCUAUUCAUGACUAGAGAAGUGAGAGAUUCAUUCAAAAAGAACUUAUGGUUAAUAGAUAGUGCUUGUUCAAAUCACUUAACUGGGGAUGAGAGUCAGUUUUUUAUCCUGGAUAGUAGCUACAGGUCCAGAGUUGAAAUUGGAAAUGGAACUUUCUUAAGGAUUCUUGGUUUAGGGACUGUUAUGGUGAAACUCAAUCAGGCAUCAAGCAUAUUUCAAAUGUCUUUUUUGUUCCUAAAGCUAAUCAAAAUCUACUUAGUGUUGGACAACUUAUUGAGAGUCACUAUGUUCUCUUUUUUAUGGAUAAAUGCUGCACAUUGUUUGAUCCUAAAGGUGAUGAACUAUUCACAGUGGAGAUGAAGAAUAGAUGCUAUCCAAUUAAUUGGAAGCAUACUGAACAGAAGGCCUAUAUCAGUUCUGUUGAUGAUUCAGAACUGUGGCAUAAAACGUUAGGGCAUGUGCACUACAAAUCUUUGCAAGAUAUGGCUACUCAGGAGAUGGUUGAAGGAUUGCCUAAGAUCAUUAAGCCUGAGCAUGUGUGUGGUACUUGUCAAUUUGGAAAGCAAAGCAGAACUUCAUUUCCAAAGAAUAGGGGGUUGAAGGCUACUAAGAAGCUACAGUUGGUACACACUGACUUAACAAGACCUAUGUAGACUAUCUCCCUUGGUGGCAACAGGUAUUUCCUAGUGUUUAUUGAUGAUAUGUCUAGAUACUACUAGAUAUAUUUUCUUAAAGUUAAGUCAGAUGCAUUAAUGAACUUUAUUAAGUUCAGAAGUUUAGUUGAGAAUCAGACAAAUACUACCAUUAAAACAUUUAGAAGUGACAAUGGAAGGAAUUCACAGCUGCUGAAUUUGAGAAAUUGUUAACUCAGCUUGGCAUCACUCAUCAACUUAUUGCAACCUAUAGUCCUCAGCAAAAUGGAGUUACUGAAAGGAAGAAUAUGACACUUAUGGAGAUGGCAAGGUGUUUGCUGUUUCAAAAGUAUAUUCCUAAACUGUUAUGGGCAGAAGCUGUUAAUACAGCUAAUUACUUACUGAAUAGAACCAAGACCAGUUUAAUAAUAGGUAAGACUCCUUUUGAGUAUUGGUUUGGUUUCAAACCUUCAGUAACUCAUUUGAAGAUCUUUGGUAGCAUUUGCUAUGUGAAGAUUCUAAAUAAGAAGAGGUCAAAGCUUGAUGAGGAGAGUGUUGUAACAAUCUUCAUUGGAUACAGUGAAGUUACAAAAGGAUACAAAUUGUAUGAUGUUAAAACUAAGAAGAUAUUGGUCAGUAGAGAUCAAGUUUGAUGAGUUUUCAAAAUGGAAUUGGGAAAAGUUACUGAUUGAAAGUGCUGAACAGUUAAAAUCAGUUUAUGGAGAUGAGCAGGAUGAGACAAAUAUUGAGGAUGAGAGCCUUGCAGUCAAAGGAAUUAGAUCCUUGCAAGAUAUAUAUGCAAGGUGUAAUGUUGCUAUCACAUAACCUAACUGCUAUAGUGAAGCUACAAAAGAUGUCAUGGGACUAAAAAGGAGAUUGCAUAUGAUUUUGGUUAUUAUAUUUUUUAAAUUUUAUUUAAAAGUUAUUUAAUCAAUAUUAAUAAGAUUUAUAUAAUUUAUAAAUCUAUAAGAAUUCCAAUGCAUCGGAUGACUUAUAAAAAUACCCAUAUUUAUUUAGUACAUUUGAAUAAAUUGUAAUUUUUAAAUUUUUUAUUAUGAAUAUUAAUAAGAUUUAUCUCUUUAGUAAAUAUAUAAGAAUACUAAUUUGUACCAAAUUACUUCAUUAGAAUUUUUUUUUAUUAUAGAUAUCAACAAGAUUUGUCCAAUUUUUAAACAAAAAUUUUAAUUACAUUGAAUGGCAUUCAUUAAAAUUAUUUUUCUUAAUGCUAAUAAUAUUGAAUAAUUUAUGGAUUAAUAUUUUAAAAUUUCAAUUAUAUAUGAUUGAAAAAUUAAUUGAUGUUUGUAUAAAAAUGUUAUUUUAGUUUGAUUGUCUUUAUUUAUAGACGAUUAACUUCAAAUUUUAGAAAUAUUUUUAUCUUAUAUAUAAUCCUUAUUAAAAAAAUUAAAACAUAAGUAUCCAAGUGCAAUGCAUGUGAUAAUAAAUAUUAGUAAGUAUAAGUUGCUCCCAGCUCAUCUAAUUGGGUGCCAUGCUUGGCUGGUGUGGAGGUUUUUUGGUGAGUCUGCUUUUGCUGUGGCUUCAACUUGCUGUUUCCUUGUGAAAGAGCCGUGUCUUUUCUGGUUUUGGCUCUUCUGCGGUCUUCCAUCAUGGUUGGAUUUCUUAACAUAAGUAUCCAAGCCUUGUGAAAGAUGUUGGUUUUGUUUUGUUGUUCUGGAAGGAUGAUUAUGAAUAGGGGAUGUUUCUUUGAUUUUGUCAUCGAAUCCUCAGGGGUUAUGGAUAGAUGUUUCACUGGCAAACCCUGUUUUUGUCUAAAGGGCGCUGCAUUGCUUGUGUUUAGGUGAUUGCCGAAUUGAGAUUCUUUUAUUUUUGGUGGCAGUAAUCCUUUGUGUAAUUAUACAGAUUCUCAAAGGCCUUAUCAUUCUUUUAUGUCAUUAAAAGUCUUCGGUAGAUCAGGCAAGAGACUUGAUGAUGACAUAAUGAUAAUGAUGAUUAAUAAAAACAACGUUUAAAAAAAGUAUACAAAAAAGGGUUAUAUUAUUAUUAUGAUUAUUAUUACUAAAAAGAGUUGAGUAGUUGGAUUGCGUCUCCAUUCUUUAGAUUUGGAAUGAAUUAAGAAUCUAAAAUGAUAUAUAACAUACAAUAUAAUCAAUUCAUUAAUCAUAACGCUUUUUAAUUUCUAAUGCUUUUUUUUAUUUCCUAAUUCUUGUUUAUAUCCCACAAAAUUGUUGCACAUCCAGAUUUAAACGAGAACCCGAUGUUAUUGCAAAAGAACAAGGAGACAAUUCAAAAAAUACAUCCGGCUCUGAGGAAUGAUGACAUUGAUGACAUUAACAUUGUUGUAUGAUAAGUUCGAGAUUAAUACUGGUAUGAUCAUUGGAUCAACAAAAUCACAAGGAAACAAAACUUAACGAUCAUUGAUGGAGUUUAUGUGAUUCCCAUAGUUGGUAUGAGAGGAAUUGGUAAGAUAACCAUUACUAAGCUUGUCUGUGAUGAUAAUAACGUAAAGAUAAUUUUGAUCUAAUUUAUUACAUACAUUUGAUUAUUAAAUCGCAUGUAUGUCAAAAUUAUUUUUUAUAUAUUUAUUUGUUUAUAAAAACAUUUAAAAUUAUAUAACAAAAAAUAAUUAUUUUUUAUUUUACAAGUCAUGGUGAAUAUCUAACUAAUAAAUUAACUAAUAUAUAUAUAUAUAUAUACUAAUAAAUUAACUAAUAAAGAUUUGAUGGUUAGGGAGCUGCAUAGUGUUGAUGGAAAAUAGGUGGCUGAAGGGAAAAUGGAUGAGAAGGAGACCAUCUUAAUUUAAAUGAACGAUCAGUCAUAGCCUCCACGGACAGUUCUUAUUUGGCGAGAUUGGUUCUUCUUUGAACGUUUUAUAAGGUGAUGGUUGAAUGUUUGAAAUUUAGCUUUCUAGUGAUGACUUCUUGUAAUAUCCUCUAAUUUUACUAGAAAAAGCUUUUGUAAUCUUAUUAUUUUAAGUAGGGGAGUACUUGAAGAGACGAUAGUCCCAUGGUUUUUCCCUUUACCAAGUGGUGAGGGAUUGUUUGAAGUAAAAUCUGAUGUCUUACUUUCAUGGAUUGUUGAUUAUUUAUUUUCUUACAUGGAUAAAUAAUAAUGAAUUACUAUUUUAAUAUAUUCUAUAGGGUAUUCAACUUUUACGAGGAGAAACAAGAAAUCAGAGUUUUAUUUGUCUGGCUGCAAUGGUUGACUGUAAAGACAUGAUGUGCUUUCUUCAUUUUUUGGUUUUACUAUUUCACAUAGACACCAUAAUAUAACAGCUUAACAACUAAUCGCAACAAACAAACUCCUGUCAAUUGUAAUAAAUAAAACCAUUAAUUUAUGACAACAGAACCAAUCAAGGACAAAAUAAGUCUUGGAACCAAUCAAUCAAGAUUGCUCCUCAAUCUUAAAACAAAAGCAAUUCCAGUCCCGAUAAUUCCUCAAAGACAGAUGAAUCCACAGAAGUAAGCCAAGGGUUCGAAAAAGUCAUACCAAUCUUUUUUUUUCCCUUCAUUUCAUUGGUUUUUGGAGUGAGGAAUAACCAUUCUUUGUAAGAAAAUUGUAUAUAAAAUACGUAGGAAACAAAUUGACUACCUUUGUAAAAGUAUGCAAAUAAGAUAAUAUUUAUGGGUUGGAAAAAAAAAAGAAGAGUUCUACCACCUAAUUCUUUAUCGAUUUGCUCUCGAACAUCACCUCAAUCACCGCAAGCAUACCAAACAAACAAAAACACUAAAAUUUAAACGAAUGCCCCCAAUGAAUACCAAACAAAAACAAUAAUUAAUAAAUUAUCUGCUUAGGUAUUCUAAUAUCUAUUAGUUGAAUUCAAUACCUAUUAGUUGUCUGACCAUUAUUCUUACCUAACCAUUCGUAUAUUAUAUGGUUCUAAAGUUGUAAGCAACUGUUCAAUCACGAAAUAUUGACACCUUCUACAGAUUAAUUUGGGAGGAUCCCAAUGAAUACAUUUUAGAGUGCAUUAUCAAACCAUUGAUUAAUAACAUUUAAUUUGAUUUACCAAUAAAAGUUUUCAAUUUGUAAAUUUUUUAUAAAUAUUAUAGGUUGCUCAAAUGUCAUUGUAAUUUGCACUUGAACAGUUGAUUCAAUAGAAAUUUUUUUUUUUGAAGAGCUAGUUCAAGUAUUCAUUAAUAUAGAUGCUUAAAAAAAUCUACCCAAGAGGUAGAAAAACAGCACAAUAUCGGCCACAAAAACAUACCAAUAUGACUGUAGGUAAACAGAAAAGCAAAAACAAGUUGCAAACAAGAAUCCCAAGAUAGAGAAAGUCCUAAGCAACAUUCAGACCCACACCUACCAAAUACAAAAAAGCAACAUAAAAACAAAGUAACCUGCGCAAAGAUCUGUACACAAAACUGAACAAAGCAAAUAAAAAAAAGCAGCACAAAGCAGGUCAAAAGAAGUCACCAACAGAAAUAAUAAAACUUUGGAUAAUGGACAUUUGUAUAAGGCAAUAACAAAAAUAAACAUUUAAGUUAGGGAUAAAUAAUUACACAAUAAUUUACUUUAAUGAGAAAUUUGGUAUUAAUAUGAAAAUAGAUAAUCAGUUAGCAACAUUUUAUAAGAAUUCAAUGUUAAUGCGGAAAUAGAUAAAUAUUGGUCAAGAUUUUAAUUGAGUAAAGAAUAAUUAAUAAAGACAAAAUAAUUAAUUUAAUAGAUUGAUAGGAGAUAUAUAUUGUUUAACUAGUAUUCAAGUAUUUGGCUUAUUGGUUAGUGUAUGAUUUCCUUCUCUAAAAAGUCAGAUUCAAAUCCCCUUCCCCAAAUAUAUAAAAAAAAAAUGGUUUAACUACUUUUUUUUUAGACUUGAGGGAAGGGGGAUUCAUCAUUUAACUAUUUUAAUUUUUGAAGUUUGUACUUUCAAUAGAUAGUAAAUAUCUCUAAUAUAUACAAAAAUACCGAUGUUGCAAAAUUUUUUAAUUAACAAAACAUAGUUAUAUUUGUUUAUUAUAUUUAUGAUUUUUUGUUUUAAUUAUUUUUAAAAUUGAUAUUAAUAACAUUGAUCAAUUUUGUAAAUAUAUAAAACUUCUAAUUUUAUAGAAUGAGUUAUGAAAAUAAUUAUAUAGAUUCAUUUUACUUUUAAAUUAUCAUAUUAAAUAUUUUUUAUUAAUAAUAUUUAUAUGAUUUAUCAAAUUUGUAAAUAUAUAAAAAAAUUAAAAUUACAUUGAAUGACUUUAUUAAAAGUUUUUUUUGUUAGUAAUUGACCAUUGAUUUUUCUGUGGGAGUUGUGCACUUUUCCGAAUACAAAUGUAAGGAAACUUGAAAUUUUUGCACAAAAAAAAAAAAAACAAGAACAAGAUUUAUCCCAUUUGUAAAUAAGAAUUUUAAUUACAUUAAAUGAUUUUCAUUAAAAAAAUUUCUUGAUUCUAAUACUAUUGAAUAAUUUAUAGAUUAAUAAUACAAAAUUUCAAUUAUAUAACACUGAAAAAUUAAUUAUUUUUAUAUAUAAUUAUCUUUCAAUUAUAAUUGUUUUUAGUUAUAGAUAAUUAACUUUAUAUUUUAAAAAUAUUUGUGUCGUAUAUAUAGAUAUUUAUUAUUUCAUAAUAAAUAAAAAACAAAAUAUUCAUAUACAAUGCAUAUGAGAAUAACUAUGAAUAAGUAUAAGUAUAUUAUUAUUAUUUUUUUAACUAAAAAUGAUGGAGUAGCUGAGUUGUUUCUCGGUUAUUCAAUUCCUAAUUCUUUGGUGAAUCUAGUAUGACGAUUGAUGAAAGGUUUUUGGUAUAAGGAGAGAGUACCAUAUUCCAAUUCUGGACCUUUACUUGAAGUAUUGGGACUUAAGCCUAAUUAAGUCAUUAAUUGAUGUAUAAUUUCACCAAUAAAAUUUUCUAUGUUGUAAUCAUAUAAUCAUUAAUGAUUCAUUAUUGGUCUAUUUGUCAGUGUUUACUUCAAUUAUUCUGUGCCAAUUUUUAACUAAUCAUUAAUGAUUCAUUAUUGGUCUAUUUGUCUAUUUAAGUUUUAGACUUAUAUAAGAAAGUAAUUUUAUUUCUCCUCUAAUAAACUGCAGUAUUCAAAUUUAAGAUUUGAGGCUUGCAUUUUCCAAUUAUUGUUUUAAAUUCCAACAAUGGGUUGUUCAGCACUGUUUGAUACCAAAAUAUUUUUAUUUUGUGUCAAUUAAUCAGGCAAUAAUAUUAGGCAGCUCGAGAUCUGAUGUAAUUUUUCUUAGAACAAUAUCAUCAUUUUUUAAACAUCUUUCCUUGGGGAAAGAACAAUGAAUCCAAGGUAGCCAUCCCCAUUAAGAAGAUUUUAUAGAUUUCUAUAAAAUUGCUGCAAGCUUUACCAUAUCAACAUUAUCAUCUAUAUUUGAUAAAAUUUAACAAAAUUUUUCUUGAACUUCCCCUGCUUCAAGAUGCAAGUGACAAGUUUCAUCUAAUUUUGUUACUUUAUCUUCAAAAAUCAACAAAUUAAAAAUAUAGUAACAAAAUUCAAUGAAAUUGAACUAUAUUGAUAAAAUUCAACAUUAACUCUUAAUAUUGUUGAAAAAUUGGUUUUAAUCCCCAAGAAAUUUCAUAGCUUAACAGGUUUUUUUUUUUUCCCAAUUCUGACUAUCUGAGUUUUACUUACAAAAUUGAGAGUCAAUUUUGAAUGUUGUUGAAAUCUCAUACCAAUUCAUGACUGAGGUGAAUUUCAUCUAUGGUGAGUUUUACCACAACCAUCCCCAUCACUCUCUCGCCUUUCUCGCCAUUCAAAUAUCAAUAUAUGCAAACCCCAAGGCCAAGGUAUAUAAAUCCAGAAUCCCAGAACAGGUUAAAUAUACUUGAUUAAUAUUUUGUUAAAUAAUAAUAAGAAGUCGUAAGAAUUCAUGUGACUUUUGUUAAAGAAUUCAACACUUAUCAUCUCUUGUCUGCCAUUUUUACCUGCUCUUGUCCUUGGCCGCCUUAUUUUAUUCCUAUCAAAGGAUAACAAAAAUAAACUACAUCUCUCUCUCCCCCUCUUAUUUAGUCCUCCAUUAACCAAAAUUUUAUAUGGAUGUAUGCACAUGUCUCUUCUGCUUAAGCCCAGGGAGUCUCAUUUUUCAAAGUUUUACUUGGUUGUAUGCACAUGUCUCUUGACCACUAAACAUAAAUUCAGAAAUAAAUUUUGAAAUUUUUUUAACUCCCUAUGAUUGCCGAACCCCCAUAACCACAAAAAUUUCUUCUAGUUCAAUAUCCUACUCUUGGAUUUUCUCUCUACUUCAAAUCUCAUAAUUCCUUUCUCAAACAAUUGAUCAUGGCUUUCAUUGCAGACGCUGCUCUCUCUGCUUUCUUUGACUCGUUGUUUUCCAAGUUUUCCUCUUCCGACUUCAACUUUGUCACUGAGAAGCAGGUUCGCAAGGAGAUUAUGACCUGGGAAACGAAAUUGCGGGAUAUCCAUGCCGUUCUUGCUGAUGCAGAGGAGAAGAAAAUGAAGAACCAGACUGUGAAGAAUUGGCUGGCUGACCUCCAAGACUUGGCUUACGACGUGGAUGACAUCUUGGACGAGUUUGCCACUCAAGCUUUGGGGCGUAAGUUGAUGAAAGCACAUCAAGCCAGCACUAGUAAGGCACAAAAAUUUCUUACUAGUUUCCAUCCAAGUUCAAUCUGUUUAACUAUAAGAUGAUGUCCAAGAUUAAAGAGAUUACAGGAAGAUUGGAAGAUUUAGCAACACGAAAGAUUAAAUUGCAACUAGUGAAUGCUGUUGGAAGGCCCAUGACACUACCAAGAAGCAAGCCAAGCACUUCUUUGGUGAAUGAAGCUACUGUACGAGGCAG